CCUACGUGAGGCAGCAGUGAGGAAUAUUGGUCAAUGGGCGCGAGCCUGAACCAGCCAAGUAGCGUGAAGGAUGACUGCCCUACGGGUUGUAAACUUCUUUUAUAAAGGAAUAAAGUGAGGCACGUAUGCCUUUUUGUAUGUACUUUAUGAAUAAGGAUCGGCUAACUCCGUGCCAGCAGCCGCGGUAAUACGGAGGAUCCGAGCGUUAUCCGGAUUUAUUGGGUUUAAAGGGAGCGUAGAUGGGUUGUUAAGUCAGUUGUGAAAGUUUGCGGCUCAACCGUAAAAUUGCACUUGAUACUGGCAGUCUUGAGUACAGUUGAGGUAGGCGGAAUUCGUGGUGUAGCGGUGAAAUGCUUAGAUAUCACGAAGAACUCCGAUUGCGAAGGCAGCUUACUAAACUGCCACUGACAUUGAUGCUCGAAAGUGUGGGUAUCAAACAGGAGUAGAUACCCCUGUAGUC
rnacentral:rRNA from 1 species